rnacentral:rRNA from 1 species
CGAACGCUGGCGGCAGGCCUAAUACAUGCAAGUCGAACGGCUCUUCGGAGCAGUGGCGGACGGGUGAGUAACGCGUGGGAAUGUGCCCUUAGGUACGGAACAACACAGGGAAACUUGUGCUAAUACCGUAUGUGCCCUUCGGGGGAAAGAUUUAUCGCCUUUGGAGCAGCCCGCGUUGGAUUAGGUAGUUGGUGAGGUAAAGGCUCACCAAGCCGACGAUCCAUAGCUAGUCUGAGAGGAUGACCAGCCACACUGGGACUGAGACACGGCCCAGACUACUACGGGAGGCAGCAGUAGGGAAUCUUGCGCAAUGGGCGAAAGCCUGACGCAGCCAUGCCGCGUGUAUGAUGAAGGUCUUAGGAUUGUAAAAUACUUUCACCGGGGAAGAUAAUGACGGUACCCGGAGAAGAAGCCCCGGCUAACUUCGUGCCAGCAGCCGCUGUAA